rnacentral:rRNA from 1 species
AGAGUUUGAUCCUGGCUCAGAUUGAACGCUGGCGGCAUGCCUUACACAUGCAAGUCGAACGGCAGCACGGGAGCAAUCCUGGUGGCGAGUGGCGAACGGGUGAGUAAUAUAUCGGAACGUGCCCAGUCGUGGGGGAUAACGUAGCGAAAGCUACGCUAAUACCGCAUACGAUCUACGGAUGAAAGCGGGGGACUCGCAAGAGCCUCGCGCGAUUGGAGCGGCCGAUAUCAGAUUAGGUUGUUGGUGAGGUAAAAGCUCACCAAGCCUGCGAUCUGUAGCUGGUCUGAGAGGACGACCAGCCACACUGGAACUGAGACACGGUCCAGACUCCUACGGGAGGCAGCAGUGGGGAAUUUUGGACAAUGGACGAAAGUCUGAUCCAGCAAUGCCGCGUGUAGGACGAAGGCCUUCGGGUUGUAAACUGCUUUUGUACGGAACGAAACGGUCUGCUUUAAUACAGUGGGCUAAUGACGGUACCGUAAGAAUAAGCACCGGCUAACUACGUGCCAGCAGCCGCGGUAAUACGUAGGGUGCGAGCGUUAAUCGGAAUUACUGGGCGUAAAGCGUGCGCAGGCGGUUAUAUAAGACAGAUGUGAAAUCCCCGGGCUCAACCUGGGACCUGCAUUUGUGACUGUAUAGCUAGAGUACGGUAGAGGGGGAUGGAAUUCCGCGUGUAGCAGUGAAAUGCGUAGAUAUGCGGAGGAACACCGAUGGCGAAGGCAAUCCCCUGGACCUGUACUGACGCUCAUGCACGAAAGCGUGGGGAGCAGACAGGAUUAGAUACCCUGGUAGAAUCG